rnacentral:rRNA from 1 species
AUUGAACGCUGGCGGCAGGCCUAACACAUGCAAGUCGAACGAGUGGCGGACGGGUGAGUAAUGUCUGGGAAACUGCCUGAUGGUUGGGGAUAACUACUGGAAACGGUAGCUACUACCGCAUACCAUCAGAUGUGCCCAUAGGGGAUUAGCUUGUUGGGGGGGUAACGGCUCACCAAGGCGACGAUCCCUAGCUGGUCCGAGAGGAUGACCAGCCACACUGGAACGGAGAAACGGUCCAGACUCCUACGGGAGUCAGCAGUGGGGAAUAUUGCACAAUGGGCGCAAGCCUGAUGCAGCAAUGCCGCGUGUAUGAAGAAGGCCUUCGGGUGGUAAAGGACUUUCAGCGGGGAGGGGUUACCCGCAGAAGAAGCACCGACUAACUCCGUGCCAGCAGCCGCGGUAAUUC